rnacentral:rRNA from 1 species
AGUGAACGCUGGCGGUAGGCCUAACACAUGCAAGUCGAACGGCAGCACAGUAAGAGCUUGCUCUUACGGGUGGCGAGUGGCGGACGGGUGAGGAAUACAUCGGAAUCUACUUUUUCGUGGAGGAUAACGUAGGGAAACUUACGCUAAUACCGCAUGCGACCUACGGGUGAAAGCAGGGGAUCUUCGGACCUUGCGCGAUUGAAUGAGCCGAUGUCGGAUUAGCUAGUUGGCGGGGUAAAGGCCCACCAAGGCGACGAUCCGUAGCUGGUCUGAGAGGAUGAUCAGCCACACUGGAACUGAGACACGGUCCAGACUCCUACGGGAGGCAGCAGUGGGGAAUAUUGGACAAUGGGCGCAAGCCUGAUCCAGCCAUACCGCGUGGGUGAAGAAGGCCUUCGGGUUGUAAAGCCCUUUUGUUGGGAAAGAAAAGCAGCAGGUUAAUACCCCGCUGUUCUGACGGUACCCAAAGAAUAAGCACCGGCUAACUUCGUG